UACGUAGGCAGCGAGCGUUGUUCGGAGUUACUGGGCGUAAAGAGUGCGUAGGCGGUUUUCUAAGUUUGGUGUGAAAUCUCCCGGCUUAACUGGGAGGGUGCGCCGAAAACUGGAAGGCUUGAGUAUGGGAGAGGUAAGCGGAAUUCCUGGUGUAGCGGUGAAAUGCGUAGAUAUCAGGAAGAACACCAGUGGCGAAGGCGGCUCACUGGCCCGGUACUGACGCUGAGGCGCGAAAGCGUGGGGAGCAAACAGG
rnacentral:rRNA from 1 species